UUCGAGCGUGUUGUCUCGUUGUGCUUGCCUGUGUGCUCUGCGUUUACGCCGCCAGAGGCAAAAGAGGGGUCAAAUGCAGCAGAAUUUCCUCGAACCUUCGCGUCCCCUGCCGGGGAAAUGCGCGAUUUUGGUUCUUUGACUUCGCCUUGCAAACCUGUAAAAUGUAUCUCUCCGGAAGAUGCGGUGGGAACACUAACCACUUUGCGUCGGAAAAGAUAUGUCAGAAAGCGUGCCUACCCCGAGAGAGGCAAAAACUAGCCUGCAGCGUAGUGCCCAAGCAAGGUCCGUGCCACAACAGGCCCAGAAACAGGUGGUACUUCAAUUUUGCCUCAGGCAUCUGUACUCGCUUGCUGACAGUUAACUGUUCGCUCGGUGCCAACAGCUACCCAUCCUGCGAAGAUUGCACGAAGAGUUGCACUGAUGCUGAUGCGCAUGCAGUCUGUGGUCGGGCCGUACCGAAUCCGGAAGACUUCCUACCGAAGAAGCCGAAAUAGAUGGUUGCUCAGCACCGCUCCUUUGAAAAUGCAGGACGAUAUAGCUGUGCAGUUCGGCAAAAGAAGGCAUGGCUUCGAUAGCACCACCGUUACAAUUUCACGUCAUCAUAAACUCUUUACACGUGCGGGUCUGAAGAAGCUACCGCGCAUCUACUGAGCUAUAUACUUGCCCUCGAUCCGGCAUCCAGCGCACCCUACAUCGAUGACACAGAAAAGCUAGUCGUGCGCUAUAGCUGAACGUAUACGUUCUGUGCGCAUGUGGUUGCCACUCUCUUCCUCUUUCCAUUCCCUGCUCCCCUAUCCCUAGCGUAGGGUAGCAAACCGGACGCUCCUCUGGUUGGCCUUUCCUGCCUUUCCCCCUCCUUGGUUUUCUCACUCUCUCUGAUCUAAAACGUGUAGUAAUGCAUAUUCAUGAAUGUGGUGAAAUUGUGUGUGUGUGUGUGUGUGUACUUGCGUGCGUGCGUGUGUGUGUGUGACACUAAAACUAUUCUCGUAGCGAUUGCCUCACGAACCGAAUGUUGUGUAAUUGUGAUAGUGGCAGGCAUUAACAGUAGGUGUCUGUUUCAUCGCACUGUGUAUACGGUUUUCCGCUGAAAUACUCGUUUGCCACAGGAACAGGCCGAUUCAUUCUGUAUAGGAACAAGACAUCCACACAAUAAAGGGACGACACUGGGUAAAGG